rnacentral:rRNA from 1 species
GACGAACGCUGGCGGCGUGCCUAACACAUGCAAGUCGAGCGAUGAAGCUCCUUCGGGAGUGGAUUAGCGGCGGACGGGUGAGUAACACGUGGGUAACCUGCCUCAUAGAGAGGGAUAGCCUUCCGAAAGGAAGAUUAAUACCUCAUAAGAUUGUAGUUUCGCAUGAAACGGCAAUAAAAGGAGCAAUCCGCUAUGAGAUGGACCCGCGUCGCAUUAGCUAGUUGGUAAGGUAAUGGCUUACCAAGGCGACGAUGCGUAGCCGACCUGAGAGGGUGAUCGGCCACAUUGGGACUGAGACACGGCCCAGACUCCUACGGGAGGCAGCAGUGGGGAAUAUUGCACAAUGGGGGAAACCCUGAUGCAGCAACGCCGCGUGAGUGAUGACGGUCUUCGGAUUGUAAAACUCUGUCCUUGGGGACGAUAAUGACGGUACCCAAGGAGGAAGCCACGGCCAACUACGUGCCAGCCGCCGCGGUAACAC